GCCGCGAUAAUUUGAUCGUGCAAAGGUAGCAUAAUAAUUAGUUUCUUAAUUGGGAACUGGAAUGAAAGGUCGCACGAGAAAAAAACUGUCUCAAUUUAAUUUUAAUUAGAAUUUUAUUUUUAAGUAAGAAAGCUUAAAUAAUUUUAAAAGACGAGAAGACCCUAUAGAGUUUUAUAUUUAUUUAUAUAUUUUUUAGUUUUAGAAUUUUAUUUUAAAAUUUAUAUUUAAGUAUUUGGUUGGGGUGAUUGAAAAAUUUAAUAAACUUUUUUUAAAAAUUUAACAUUAAUAAAUGAUUAAUUGAUCCAUAAAUAAUGAUUAAAAGAUUAAAUUACCUUAGGAAAAAA
rnacentral:rRNA from 1 species